AAUCAUUAUUCACGGUUACUAGUUGCAGAUUUCAGUGGUCCUCUUUCAGACAUGCAAUUACGAGUUUUGGAACAGGUCGGCUCUUUUGGAACCAUUCCUAGCGAUCCCCGUGAAGACACUAUUAAUUAUUCGAGUGCUUGACCAGGGCAUUUGCUCCCGCGAAAACCUUCCUCCUGGUAUGCUGCAAUUUCCACUGACGCAGUGAAGGAAGGGAUGGCAACGAUCUCAUCCUCCGAUGCAGGGAAGAAGAUGUUGCAAUUCCAUUCCGUGAUGCCUACGGUUUCAUCAUUUGCUACUGCUCGCUGUUGUUUCAUACAUUGACAAUGCUUAUCCAUUGAAGCAGGGGAGGCAUCUACACCGGCGCUGCCCUCAUAGGAAUCAUCAACUGCUCGAAUUUGUACUGUUGCAUCUGCUACUUAGGCGUUCUUCCAGAAUCAUGAAUUCCUGUAUGUGCAUACACCCAUUAUCAUUACAUCAACCCCAACUUUGGGAGUUCAAUGUUCCGGGUUAUAGCUCUCCUUGGCAAAGCUGAAAACAUGAAGGCACUAGGUGGUAUAUUAACGUUAAGCUGAGACAGAAGCUGCAAAGGCAUGUCUUGGGGGAAAAGCUCAUAGGAUGGAUGAACUAAAGAGAAGCGAUAAUCACAAAAAAAACACUAGCAAUGUAAACUUUGGAAAAGGUUUCUUUUCUCAGAAGGAAUUUUUAUUGAAUCUGCUCAGCUUCUCUUGAGUGCUAUGCAUGUUCCCUUGGUAACGUUUAUACAUGGAGGCAAGCCUUUCAAGCAGAAAAAAAAUUCAAACUGCAGAGUGCAUAGCUCAGACAUGGAUGGUUUAGGGUGAACUUGCCUUCACAGUAUAACAGGGAGGCUUUGAAGUUCAAUAUCAAAAGUUCAUCUCUCUUUACAACAAGGAAGUGUUUCCUUGAUCCCAUUCAUUGGUUACGAUCAGUUUUAGCAAUGUCAUGUACUGUCCUUGGAGCAGUGAGUAAACAAGCCCUGGCAGUCGAUGUCAUCAACUAUCAAGUGUGAAUGGUAAGUCUCUUGUUGAUAUGAUCUCCAACUUUUCUUUGUGCAAUCUUUUCGUUGUUAGGAUACUUUGGCAUAUGCUCUUUACAACCCUCAUAAGCCUCUUGUUACCACAUAUGCCAUGGAGCAUACAUUUCUAUGGUCGCAAUAUACAUUGUGGAUAUUUCGUUUUGCGUAAGAUUUAUUAUGGAUCACUUGUCCAGAUUCGCUUAUAUCGUGUUCAAGUUGUACAUUUGAAGCUUGCACCAGUUGAUUUCAUCGGAAAAUGAUACUCUACCUUAUGGAAGUUUCAAUCGUACCACUAGUUCUUGGUUUCUUUAUGCAUCCUGUGGUCGUCUUUUUAUGAAUUUAUGUCUCCCAGUUAAGAAAUAUUGGACGCCAAAAGCCUGCAGAUGAUGCACAUUAAUUGUUCUCUCUUGUCCUUAGCAAAUCGCAACAAUGCACUAGCAAAGGAUAUAUGUCCCGUAUUACAGAAGGCACACAAGCUGUUCUCUCAUAGAUGUGUGUACAGGGGGACCGAAGACAAAGCCCUAUGUCAGGAUGAUGGAGUGGGCCCUACAACUUCUAGAACACGUCACCAAAUAGGAAACGAGAUCUUUGUGAUUGGUUAGUUUUGUUCAAUGAUUCUCAAUCCAACAUGCAAGGCUGUUAGAAAGUUUUGAAUGUCCAUAACAAUGAGAAUUUCUGAUCAAAAUCGUUGGUGGAUAUUUUAGAUCCCUUUGAAAGAAAUUCUGUGAUGUGCUCCAAUGCAGGUACCUACCAGAAGCAUGAUAGGAUGAAGUUGGCACAGUGCUUUGGAUUUCCACAUCUCCAAGCACCAAAAGCUCAUGAAUUCCUAUGCAUUUGGUGCAAAAACUGAUCCGCCCAUAAGAUCACAACUUUAUCCUUUUUGUUUGUUCUAUGAAAAAUUUGGUUCCAGAUAUUGUGAGCUGGCUUCUUCUUCUUUGUUAUGUUGGACUUGAUGAUCAUUUCCAAGAGAAAAGAAA